rnacentral:rRNA from 1 species
UACGAAGGGGGCUAGCGUUGUUCGGAAUUACUGGGCGUAAAGAGCUCGUAGGUGGUUUGUCGCGUUGUUCGUGAAAACUCACAACUCAAUUGUGGGCGUGCGGGCGAUACGGGCAGACUGGAGUACUGCAGGGGAGACUGGAAUUCCUGGUGUAGCGGUGGAAUGCGCAGAUAUCAGGAGGAACACCGGUGGCGAAGGCGGGUCUCUGGGCAGUAACUGACGCUGAGGAGCGAAAGCGUGGGGAGCGAACAGG